rnacentral:lncRNA from 1 species
CUUCCCCCAUCACAUAGGUUACAUAAUGCUUUAUUAACACUAAACUUUCUUAAUGCUAAUAAGAAAGGACAAACAGCUGCAGAAAGACACUGGACUACAGAAAAAAAUGCUGAACUGAAUCAGCCGGUAUACUUUAAAGAUGUAUUGACCUCUGUAUGGAAACCAAGACAUGUGUUAUGUUGGGGAAGGGGUUUUGCCUUUGUUUCCACAGGAGAAGAAAAACUUUGGAUACCAUCAAAGUUGAUCAAGAUUCGAGUAGAAAAAGCAAAACCUCUUGAUGAGGAGAAAUGAUCCACCAAGGUAUAUCUCAUAAACUGUAUGGCAGCCUCACAAAGGAAAGAAAGAAAACGGGCCACACUUCAUUGAGUCGAUUGGAUCCAACUUGAUUCGUUUGAACUGACACUCUGGCUAGAGCUUCGGCUACUGAUUCCAAUCAACACAAGAACUUCAAUCAAUAUAAGGACUCCAACCUAGACCUUCAAUAAAGCAUCUCCCAUCAAACACAGACUUCAUAUAAUCCACUCAUGACUUUCACUACAUUAACAUUUUCUUCCUACAGGACCCCAUGAGGCUAUAGUCGUCCCAUUUCAGCAAGAAGUAACUUGGAGAAUACUACACUCCCUUUCCCCACUGUUGUCACUAAGGAUAAUGUACACCUAGUUAAGGCUAGUUUCCUAUUGUUUAGGGUUGGGUUUGGAAGAGGUGUUCAGGCUUGGACAUCUCUUUCAGAUGACUUUAGGGUUUAGUUGGAAUAGACAUAGUUAGGAUGUGAUAUUAGUGGAUUAUUAACCUUCUUGUAAUUCACCUUUACGAUUGUUAAUUAUAGAUAAUUUACACUGUUAAGUUUUAAUCCUCUUUAGACUAAAAGUGGAAUUUUAGGAGUAUCCUGUUUAGAGGUAAUGCUAUGGAGCUGGCCACAUGUAAGGAUACCCACACCCGAUUGGGACUGGACACAUGUGUUGCUGACCAUGCCCACUUGGGCUUGGUCAGAGUGACAUGGAAAAGGUUUAAGUAGUUAGGGUGCUCACGCGGGCCCUUUCUCUCCCUCCCUGAAGCCUGGCUAAGUGGACUUGGAUGAGUACUAUUUCUUAAUAAACUACCUGUUAUCAACC